GAGCUGGGCUGAGCUGGGCUGAGCUGAGCUGGGCUGGGCUGGGCUGGGCUGGGCUGGGCUCGGAUGAGCUGAGCUGAG
ensembl:miRNA